GACGAACGCUGGCGGCGUGCCUAAUACAUGCAAGUAGAACGCUGAAGCGAGGAGCUUGCUCUUCUUGGAUGAGUUGCGAACGGGUGAGUAACGCGUAGGUAACCUGCCUUGUAGCGGGGGAUAACUAUUGGAAACGAUAGCUAAUACCGCAUAACAAUGGAUGACACAUGUCAUUUAUUUGAAAGGGGCAAUUGCUCCACUACAAGAUGGACCUGCGCUGUAUUAGCUAGUAGGUGAGGUAAUGGCUCACCUAGGCGACGAUACAUAGCCGACCUGAGAGGGUGAUCGGCCACACUGGGACUGAGACACGGCCCAGACUCCUACGGGAGGCAGCAGUAGGGAAUCUUCGGCAAUGGGGGCAACCCUGACCGAGCAACGCCGCGUGAGUGAAGAAGGUUUUCGGAUCGUAAAGCUCUGUUGUAAGUCAAGAACGGGUGUGAGAGUGGAAAGUUCACACUGUGACGGUAGCUUACCAGAAAGGGACGGCUAACUACGUG
rnacentral:rRNA from 1 species